rnacentral:lncRNA from 14 species
GCCGGGGCUCCCGCGGGCGGGCGGCACCUCCAGCGCUCUGGGCCCGCUCAUCGCUGCCGCUUUCUAUUUAACGCGGCGGCGCUUUUCUGCGCGGCGGCUCCUCCCCUGCCUUCUCCGAAAACACGUGGCCGCAGCUUCACUUUCACUUUCCCAACGUUACAGCUGAACCGAGCAGAGCUCAGCCCUGCCCUGCCCGCGGCUCCCGGCACCCCAGGAGCUCGCUUGGGGCUGCUGGUGCUGCAGAACGCCGGCGGUGGGACUGCUACGCCCCGCUCGGCUCUGCUCUGCUCGGCUCGGCUCCGCUCCGCCCCGCGUGUCCCCGUCUCCUGUUCAUCCCAUAUCUUCUGUCCGACUAAAACAGUGAUUGCUCUUUUUUUUUCUCUCCCCCAAACAGCGCCAGCAAAGACGUGGUGCGCAAGGCGCCCUUGGGUAGCGGCAGGCAGCUGCUGCAGGGUUAGGCUGGCUCGGCUGCCUGGGAAGCCCAAGCGCAGGAGUGCUCCGAGGCUCAAGGGAGGCGAGGGAACCCUAGAGAUGUCUGGAAUUCUCCUCCUCCUCCUCACCCACGUUUUUAGAAGCAUAUUAGUACUUCAGGAAAAUGACUGGGCUACGUGGGAGGUGACUCCUGUAUGCCACGGACAGGGAGCAGCUGCUGAGAUCUGGCCUUCUGAGAAGAGCUCACCAGAAUGACCAACAAUGCAGGCUAAGAGCACCUACCAGCAUCCCUGCAAGGAGACACUGCUGCAUGUCUAACAGCACAACCCUGCUCAUGUCAGCCAGGGAAAGUGUUACAGCCUCAUUGGUCAUGGUGAGUCAUUUGCACCUUCUGCUUCAUCUGGCAUGAACUUCAUUUUAAGUUACUCUGAAGCAACAUUAUUUUCAAUAUCUCCUUCACCAGAAGCUGGAGCCACAGAGGUGAAAAUAAUUACAUUUACCAGAACCUGCCAUUAAAAUUGUCAGCUAGUUUUAUUUCUCACUAGAAAUAAAAAAUCAGAUUUUGAACA